AGGUCUUGCCUGCCCAGUGACAAGUUAAACGGCCGCGGUAUUUUGACCGUGCGAAGGUAGCGCAAUCACUUGUCUUUUAAAUGAAGACCCGUAUGAAUGGCGGAACGAGGGCUUAACUGUCUCCCUUUUCAAGUCAAUGAAAUUGAUCUGCCCGUGCAGAAGCGGGCAUAUAAAUACAAGACGAGAAGACCCUUUGGAGCUUAAGAUACAAGAUCAACUACGUCAAGGGCCCCCAAACUUAAGCCAAACUAAGUAACAUCUGAUCUAUAUCUUCGGUUGGGGCGACCACGGGAGAAAACAAAGCUCCCAUGCGGACCGGGGUUACAACCCUAAAACCAAGAAAGACAUUUCUAAGUCACAGAACAUCUGACCACAAAGAUCCGGCCUACCGGCCGAUCAACGGACCAAGUUACCCUAGGGAUAACAGCGCAAUCCCCUUUCAGAGUCCAUAUCGACAAGGGGGUUUACGACCUCGAUGUUGGAUCAGGACAUCCUAAUGGUGCAGCCGCUAUUAAGGGUUCGUUUGUUCAACGAUUAAAGUCCUACGUGAUCU
rnacentral:rRNA from 1 species